UACGGAGGGUGCAAGCGUUAAUCGGAAUUACUGGGCGUAAAGCGCACGCAGGCGGUCAAUUAAGUCAGAUGUGAAAGCCCCGGGCUUAACUUUGUAAUUGCGUCUGAAACUGGGUGACUAGAGUCCUGUAGAGGGGGGUAGAAUUCCAUGUGUAGCGGUGAAAUGCGUAGAGAUGUGGAGGAAUACCGGUGGCGAAGGCGGCCUCCUGGACAAAGACUGACGCUCAGGUGCGAAAGCGUGGGGAGCAAACAGG
rnacentral:rRNA from 1 species